UCCCUAACCUCCCAAUGAAUUAUUAGGGUUGUGAUUCUUUGAGCCGUAUUGUUAGUGCAAUAGGACAGCCUAUCUAUGCUGAUAAAUGUACAAAACACCAGUCUCGGAUAUCCUAUGCAACUAUUUUGAUUGAAGUUAAUGUGACCAAACUAUUUCCAGAGUAUGUUACUAUUAUAGAUCCACUAGGGAGAUAUUUUCAACAAUCUAUUUAGUUUGAGUGAAAGCCAGAGUACUGUAGAAAAUGGCUCAAAGCUGGUCACAAAAGUGAGGAGCCUGAUAUGAAAAAGAAUAAACCUGUUCAUGUGAGUGAGGAGCCUAAAUUUGAGGUGCCAAAGAGAAAGCCAGUAAAGUUGGUGCAUAAAUGGUGAGAGAAGAAUCAUGAAGCUGGUCCAUCUAAGUAUGAGAAUACAAUGACAAAAAGGCAAAAGGAGCCUAAGCAGCUACUAUCUGUAGGUUAGAAGAAACAACAGGACAAGCUCUUGUACUAAAUAAGGAACAAAAGGUUACUGCUAUAAAAGAGAAAGCCAAGAUACAAUAUGCAGAGCCAAGUAGGGUGGAUUCUCCACCUUUGCAACCCACACCUAGUAGGAAUAACUUCAGUGCAUUUCAAACUAUAUGGAUAAUUUACUAACUGAUAAAGGUGGGGCUAUAAACUUGCUAUGAAUUGGGUGAUAUAGAAUGUAAGGGGGCUAAUAAAUGAUAUAAGUAAAAGGAGUUGAAGUAGUUUCUGAAAUCUCAUUAUGUACAAUUGGCAGGGUUAGUGGAAACAAAAGUCAAGCAAGCUAAAGUUGGAGUGAUUAUGAAACAUAGUGAUCCAAGUUGGAUGAAUUUUAAUAAUUACUCCCAUGCUGAGAAUGGAAGAAUUUGGGUGUUGUGGGAUCCCUAAUUCUUGAAGGUUAUAUUACUCAGAGUUGAAGUUCAAUACCUUCACUGUCAGCUUAGAAAUAGACUAGAUGAGAUAGAGUGCGCCUUUACAUUUAUAUAUGGAUACAACACACUGGAGCAAAGGAACAGCUAAUGGGAUGAUCUAAAGUUAAUAGCCAUAGGAACUUCCAUCCCUUAGAUCUUGGGAGGGGAUUUUAGUGUUGUGCUGAACUCUCAGGAUAGGAUUUUUGAGAACCCUGUCACAUAUGCAGAGAUUAAAGAUUUUAAUGAUUGUGUUUAAGAGUCCACUCUUAUAGAAUUACGUUAGAAAGGUGAGUAUUAUAUAUGGUCGAAUAAGCAAGAUAAUAAAGGAGGAAUUUAUAGUCGGAUUGAUAGAAUGUUUGGUAAUGAAGAAUGGAUGGCAAAAUGGGGUUAUGUGUCCACUUAACAUGGGCUGCCAAAUGUAUCAGACCAUGCUCCCAUGUUACUCACAAUUAUGCCUAUAACCUGAAGAGUCAAUGUACCAUUUAAGUUCUUUAAUCUGUGGGCAAAUCAUAGUGAUUUCUUAUCUCUGGUAGAAGUUGGCUAGAAGAAGAUUAAAGCAGGAGGUACUAUGAAACAAAUAUGACAAAAUUUACAGAAUCUCAAGACCGAGGUCAGGAAAUUAAAUAAUGAAGAAUUUCACAAUAUAACUCAGAAGAUUGUCUUGUGUAAAGGUGAACUAAAAUCAUACAAGUGCAAAUAAAAGAAAGUAUGCCUACAAUUUCUAACAUAUUGAUUGAGAAGAAGGAAACUCAAAUAAAUCUAGAAGAAUAAAUAUUCAUGGAGGAAAGUGUAAUGAAGCAGAAAGGUAGAGUUAUAACAACAAACCCACUGUGUUCCCACAAAGUAGGGUCUAGGGAGGGUAAGAUGUACCCAGUCCAUAUGGCUACCUCCGAAGAAAGCAGAAAGUUAGAGUUGAUUGGGUUAAGCUUAGGGACACAAAUACCAAGUACUUCACUACAAUUAUGAAAGAAAGGACUCAAAGGAAGUACAUUAUAGAGCUAACUUCUCUAGAAGGUGAUAAACUGGGGAUACUAGAGACAUUACAAAUGAAAUCAGACAAUUUUAUAAGAGUUUGAUGGGUACUGUUGCUGAAUAUUUGCUUGCAAUUAACAGACUUAUCAUGAAAAAUGGCACUAUACUGAAUCUUGACCAGCAAGUGAAACUAUGUGCGCCAGUAACAAUAGAAGAAAUCAUAGCGGACCUUAAAUCUAUAGGUGCUGAUAAAGCACCUGGUGUUGAUAGAUAUAAUGCAAAGUUUUUUACCAAAGCUUGGCCUUUUAUUCAAGACGAUGUCAUCGAAGCUGUAAAAAAUUCUUUUGAGACAAGAAUUAUGUACAGACCGAUUAAUUGCAAUGCAAUUGCUCUUGUACCUAAAUCUGUGCAGCCUAUCACUAUAAAAGAAUAUAGGCCAAUUUCAUGUUGCUCUGUGCUCUAUAACUUAUUUCUAAGGUAUUAGCAAUAAGAUUGCAAAAGGUGAUACCUUGUGUUGUGAAUGAUGCUCAAGCAGGAUUUAUAUCGAGGUGAAAGAUAGCAGAUAGUAUCAUAAUGGCUCAUGAGUUAGUACAGACUUAUGGUAGGAAGCAUAUAUCUCCAAGAUUCAUGCUUAAAGAUGAUCUUCAAAGAGUAUAUGAUAGUGUUGAAUGGGUGUACUUAAGGCAGGUUAUGGAGGAAAUACAAUUCCCUAGUAAAUUUAUUAACUGGGUCAUAGAAUGUAUUCAAACCAUCAACUAUUUAAUGGUAAUUAAUGGUGAGCAUAUGGAACCAUUUGAUGCGGCUAGGGGGCUAGGACAAGUGGAUCUUAUGUCUCUAUUCCUAUUUGCUAUAGACAUGGAGUAUUUGAGUAGGAGUCUUAAUGGUUUGCGUCUAAAUAAAAACUUCAAAUUUCACCUACAUGUAGUAAAUUAAACAUCACACACUUAAUUUCUGUUGAUGAUCUUUGAUGUUUUCUAGAGGAGAUUUGAUGUCUAUUGCAACCUUAAAUGACUGUUUUACUCAAUUCUCCCUUGCUUCUGGGCUUAAAGCUACUUUAGAGAAGAGUUUUGUUUAUUUUGGAAUUGUCAAGCCAACAUAAAAGGAUGCUAUAAUGACAUACCUUGGUUAUACUACUGGUGAGCUUCCUUUUAAGUACCUGGAUAUGCCCCUAUCAACAAAGAAACUUACUAUAAUGUAAUGACAAUCCUUAGUUGGGAAGAUUGUUAAGAGAAUCUCAUUUUGGACUGUAAAAAAAAUUUCAUGCAGGAAGGUUACAUCUUAUACAGAAUUUUAUUUGGAGUUCAGUAUUACUGGGCUUAGAUGUUUCAAAUGCCUAGUAAGGUAGUGAAUCUGAUUAAGUCAUAUUGCACGAGCUAUGUGUGACUAGGGUCUAAUAAUAUUACUAAAAUAGCUUUGGUUUCUUGGGAGAAGGUUUGCACCCCUAAGUCAGUAGGGGGUUUGAACAUUAUUAAUCUGCAUCUUUGGAACCAGGCUGCUCUUGCUGGUGCUUAUUGGGACCUCACUCACAAACAAGAUAAAAUGUGGAUUAAAUGGAUACACAUGUUCUAUAUAAAGAAUCAGAAUGUACAACUUACGGCUAUCCCUAAACAGGCUUGUUGGAUGAGUAAAAAGAUUAUGGAAGCUAGAAAAUUUUGGGACAAUCACCAGUAACAUAUACUAUUGUAGAAGAAGUUGACUAGGAAGAUUUACUUGAGGCUAUUAGGAUAAAGACUCAGGAUUCCAUGGAAGUGUCUAAUGUUAAGCAAUCUAGCUCGGCCAAAAUUUGUUUUCACUAUGUGGCUGCAAAUUCAGGAUAAACAUCUCACCAAGGACAGGUUGACAAAGUGGGGUAUUAAUGCAGAGCCUAAAUGUGUAUUGUGCCAGCAAGAAUAUGAAACUAGGGACCAUUUGUACAAUAUUUAUUCACUAGGAAGCUAUGGGGUAAUAUAUUUACUUGGAUGCAGCAGUUGAAUGAUAUUGGAGCAAUAUGGCAACAUCAAAUUCAUUGGGCAAUCAAAAGUCCUGAAUGAAGGAUUGCAAGAGCUUAAAUCCUUACAAUGGUUUAUACUGAGGUGGUGCAUGCUAUUUGGAGUGAAAGAAAUCAAAGAGUCUUUGAGAAUAAGUUAACUGAAAGCGAUAGAAUUAAUAGGACUGUUGCUUUUGCUUGUAAUUAAGGGCUCCUGCUAAUACCAGAGCCUUUAUUCAAACUUGCUUGUUAUGAUAUAGCUCAUAGUCAGAAGAUCUUUGGGCUGUUAGGUGUUACUCACUGGAUUUGUGGGAUUAAGCUAAUAGAGGUUGUCAACUUGCUUUGUAAUGUUCCAUGGUGAUUAAUGAAAAUAAGUUAGUUACCUAAAAAAAAGUAGGAGGUUGGAAGCUUUUAAGCGAUUAGUCAAUGGCAAAAUGCAAAGAAAUAGGUUAAUGGGAUGAGAAGAAUGGAGUAGAGAGAGAAAUAAAGUAAGAAAGCAUGGUAAAAGUAUAAAAUUAAAUGAAUUUAACAUGCAAUUAGAAUAAUUGGUGUUUCAUGUAUACAUUCAUUUUGAAGUUGUUUCGAAAGGCAAGAACCACCACGAAGUUAAAAAAAAAAAAAAAGUAUCGUAUUUGGAGGGGUAACUCUCUUUUGUCUUCUUAAAUUGAAAACUUGUAGAUAUUACUUGAUAAAUAUGAAUCAUUUUGUCUACUAAAAUCAUUUCUCCCCAAUCUAAGGUGAGAAAUGUUUGUCAUUUUAAGUAAUCUUCUCUUAUUUAUGUGACAACGUCAAAGGCUAAUUAAGUAUUUAAAUAUUAAUUAGAUUCAUCAAAUUUUCACGUCUAUAUUAGAACUUUACUAUGCACGUCACUUUGAGAGCAUCUUGACCCCAACUACAUAAAUGGUACUUCUGUAAUUAAAAUCAUUUCGCUUCUUUCAGAAUAUGAAUAUUUCCUUUUGAAAGUUUAAAAUAUUUUAUUUUCAUAUGCCAUGAUAAUUUUAAAUUAUGAAGCUAUAUCAUUUAGUAUAAAGUUUCAAAUUAUAAAAUGAGACGAAGGGGUAUUCUUUUUCUAAAUUGACUAAUAAGUAAAGGCAAGUGUCAUGUUUCACGGAAAAAAAAUAAUAUUCUCUUAUAUUUAUCAUUUUCUGCAUUUAAAAAAGAAUAACUUAUUUUGACUUUGCAUGGAGUUUAAAAAAUUAAAGAAUAAUUUUGAAUUUUGAGGUCUUAAAUAUAAAUUAUUUUUAAAUGUACCAAAAUAUCAUUUAAUGUCGUGGUUUAAACAUGUCAUGUGGCAAGUUGGAAUCAAAGUGUUGUCAAAAUAGGAAAGGUCCAUUCUUUUUUAAAUGGACUGAAAGAAAAGUAGAUUAUUCUUUUUGAAAUGGAAGAAGUAUUAACAAUUAGUGUGUGCUUUGUACGGAGGAAAAUAUUUUCCUAUCUUCUCAUAUGUUCGUUUGAUUUGUAGUUGAAGUUGGAGUUGUGUCCGAUCAUUAAUAUAAAUUGAAGUUAUUUUUGAAUUAUUGUGAGAAAAGUAAGACUGAAAAAACUGAAAAUAAAUUUUACUUAUUUUAACUGAAAUUGUAUUUGAAAUUCUUAUGACCAACCACCAACUUAGAGGUUUCUUUUUAAAAUUAAAUUUUGUGUCCUAGCCGGACCAUUUUAGUAAUAAAAAUAGACCCAAAAGCCUAACAAAAAUUCUGUACAUUGACAUGGACAUGGGCCCAACACUCGAUCCAUUACAUGAAAGUUGAAAGGUUUCCUAUCCCACCUAAAAUAUCUAUCCUUUGUCCAAGAGUAUUCAGUACUCGUCAGCUUACUCCACCGCCUUCCCUGAGUAAUGUUUUCUUUGAGUUGUACCUGUCCCUUCAUUUCAUGCCUCCUCUGAGUCAUCUCCAUCUUUUUAACCACACCAAUAUCUUAGGUAGCCGACGUUUAUUCUCAUGGGACUGUUGUAUCAUGCCAGCACUCUGAUUUGACCAAUGUUAUUCUGAUGGUCUAUCAAACAACUCCUCAAGAAAUUUGUCAAAGCUAAAGUGCUUUAGUGGGAGGCUCAAAACACCCUUCUUUUUGUGCAUGUCCUAGUUAGAGUGCACCCAAGCUUGGUCGAUUUAGGUGAUAUCUGGUACUUUCAAGUGUUUACUAGGUCUCGCAAGGUCAGAGAUAUGGAGCCUUCUCCCAGAGAGAGAGCCUCGAGUCAUGGACGAACUCGAAGGAGUGGACGGGCAUGUGGAUUAGCCCCGUCUAAGAGAAGUGCUAGGGGACACUCCCUUAAGCCUUGUGUUGAUCAAGUUGGAGUUGUGGGUUCUACUCCAGCUCCUUAGAGUUUGCCUAGUUUUGGAGGGGUUAUUGGUACAUUUGUUGACUCAUUUAAAGGGUUCUCCUUUGGUUAUACUGAGUGUUCCUCCAAUUUAUAGUGUGGAUCCUUCUAUUGUACCUACUUCUAUUUUGGGUACUCCUCACCCUGAGUCCUAUUCUUAUUUCAGCACGGACAUCUGAGCAUAGUGUUUUGAGAUCAGGAGUUCAUCCUUUAUCUAUGUUACCUCCUCAAAUGGGAUCUCAAGCUGUUAGAUUCAUAUGUUUCCUCUUGCUGUGAGUACUGUUAUGUCUUCUGAGGAUUAAAAGAUGUUUGUAAGGUUUACUCGUUUGGGUCCUUCUAGAUUCAAUGUAUUAUGGACGAGGAUGCUUAUGAGUUCCUGAUUGAUUGUCGAGAGAAGUUCCAUAAUUUGGGUUCAUU